rnacentral:rRNA from 1 species
GAUCCUGGCUCAGGAUGAACGCUAGCGACAGGCUUAACACAUGCAAGUCGAGGGGCAUCAUGAGGUAGCAAUACCUUGAUGGCGACCGGCGCACGGGUGAGUAACGCGUAUGCAACCUGCCCGAUACCGGGGUAUAGCCCAUGGAAACGUGGAUUAACACCCCAUAGUACUUUAUCCUGCCUGGGAUGGGAGUUAAAUGUUCAAGGUAUCGGAUGGGCAUGCGUCCUAUUAGUUAGUUGCGGG